CAGCAGCCGCGGUAAUACGAAGGGUGCAAGUGUUACUCGGAAUUACUGGGCGUAAAGCGUGCGUAGGUGGUGGUUUAAGUCCGUUGUGAAAGCCCUGGGCUCAACCUGGGAAUUGCAGUGGAUACUGGGUCACUAGAGUGUGGUAGAGGAUAGUGGAAUUUCCGGUGUAGCAGUGAAAUGCGUAGAGAUCGGAAGGAACAUCUGUGGCGAAGGCGACUAUCUGGGCCAACACUGACACUGAGGCACGAAAGCGUGGGGAGCAACCAGGAUUAGAUACCCCCGUAGUCCCUGUCUCUUAUAC
rnacentral:rRNA from 1 species